rnacentral:rRNA from 1 species
UACAGAGGGUGCGAGCGUUAAUCGGAAUUACUGGGCGUAAAGCGUGCGUAGACGGUUAUUUAAGUCGGGGUGUGAAAGCCCCGGGCUCAACCUGGGAAUUGCAUUCGAGACUGAAUAGCUAGGGUACGGUAGAGGGAAGUGGAAUUUCCGGUGUAGCGGUGAAAUGCGUAGAUAUCGGAAGGAACAUCAGUGGCGAAAGCGACUUCCUGGACCAGUACCGACGUUCAGGCACGAAAGCGUGGGGAGCAAACAGG